CGUGAGAUGUUGGGUUAAAGUCCCGCAACGAGCGCAACCCCUAUUGUUAGUUGCUACGCAAGAGCACUCUAGCGAGACUGCGUUGACAAAACGGAGGAAGGUGGGGACGACGUCAAAUCAUCAUGCCCCUUAUAUCCUGGGCUACACACGUAAUACAAUGGCGGUCAACAGAGGGAAGCAAAGCCGCGAGGCAGAGCAAACCCCCAAAAGCCGUCCCAGUUCGGAUUGUAGGCUGCAACUCGCCUGCA
rnacentral:rRNA from 1 species